rnacentral:rRNA from 1 species
UACGUAGGGUGCGAGCGUUGUCCGGAAUUAUUGGGCGUAAAGGGCUCGUAGGCGGUUUGUCGCGUCGGGAGUGAAAACCAGGUGCUUAACACCUGGCUUGCUUUCGAUACGGGCAGACUAGAGGUAUGCAGGGGAGAACGGAAUUCCUGGUGUAGCGGUGAAAUGCGCAGAUAUCAGGAGGAACACCGGUGGCGAAGGCGGGUCUCUGGGCCGAUACUGACGCUGAUGCGCGAAAGCGUGGGGAGCAAACAGG